CUCUUGAACUUGAGGGUAAAAUUCCGUAAUUGCCCAUAAUCUUCGACAGUACUAAUCCCCUCAAUCCUUCCGAAGGAGGCGGCGGCAUAUUUGUCAAAUCACCAAGAAGAUUCAGAAGAAGCAUCACUAGUACAGCCAUGCUAGAAAUACCCUUCUGAACAAGCGGCUCUUCCACUACUCUUAAAUUUCCGCCGAAAUUUCUGAAGGACUUUUUCAGUUUUCUCACCGGAAGAAUCCUGGCAAUCUGCUUUCAAGCAUUCCAGCGAGCCUCUGCCCUCUAGAAGGCAAUCCUGUCUCCUCUCUCUGCUAUUUCAAACCAGUCUGUCCGCUAACUCCAUUCCUCAGCAUAGCAAUUCGGUCGGUGCGGGCAAGGUACAAUUUUCCUCCAAACCAACAAUUUUUGAGGAGCCUUCCUUUUCUAAUCCCUAGCAGACAGUCCACAGAGUAUCCUAUUAUCUUCUGGGGAGAACCCUCUUUUUAAGAAAGCAGACUCAUCAACCAAAUUUGUUUUUUUUUUAAUUUUUUUAUUUAACCUCUUGGUUGCCACGAACCUGCUUCAAAGACGAGCAGUGUCCGUCAAAUACCUGGCACUGGGUCACAACUUGGUCCAUAAGAUAACGCUGAUAUUUAAUUGCCAAAAUCGUUCAAUUCUACGAUUGCUUAGAGAUGGAAGACUGGGAUGAUGAGCAAAUUCCACCUCUUCUCAAUAAGGAGCAACCUGGAAAUAGAUGGGAUGAUGAAGAUGUUGAUGAUGUGAAGGAAUCUUGGGAGGAUGACGAUGAUCCUGCUCCGGAACCUGCUGCUGCACCUUCUACUGGAAAGACCUCAAAAAAACCAGUUACAAAGUCUAGUCAAAAGAAAGGAAAAGAAGUUGAAGUGACACAGGAAGUGCAGUUAGAUCCUGUAGCAGAGAAACUUCGACAACAACGGCUUGUGGAGGAAGCUGAUUUUAAGUCCACUACCGAACUGUUUGGGAAGGGAGGUGACGUCAAGUCCCUUGAUAACUUCAUUCCCAAAUCUGAAAGCGACUUUGUAGAGUAUGCGGAGCUUAUUUCACAUAAGAUCCGUGCUUAUGAGAAAAGUUUCCAUUAUAUUGGAUUACUUAAGGCAGUAAUGAGACAGUCAAUGACUACUUUGAAAGCAGCAGAUGCAAAAGAUAUUGCUUCUUCUAUAACUGCAAUCGCUAAUGAGAAGCUAAAGGCAGAGAAAGAAGCCAAUGUUGGUAAAAAGAGGACAGCUGCAAAGAAGAAACAGCUCCACCUUGACAAGCCUGAUGAUGAUUUGAUGGUCACUGCAUAUGAUGAUGUUGAUGAUUAUGAUUUUAUGUGAGCGUUUCAGUUGCCCAACAUUAUAGUUUUGAGCAUUAUAUACAGUUCCUCCAUGAAACUGAGAUGAUGGAUCUUGUGGUGUUACCCUCUUUCAAAAUUUUGGAGCUUGAUUUGAGCGCGUUGAUAUUGAGGUUCUAACAUAGUCUCUCUGGCAAAGAGAACACAAUCUCAUGACACAUAAUUAAAGAUUGAUCUUACAACUAUCAACAAUGGGUUGGCUUUGGCAGACAUGAGCAAGCAAGUUGCAAGUCUCUUUGUAUUGCAAUAGGGGGUUUUGGAUUUGAUUUUUUAUGAGGGGCUAUAUUUUUUUUGACCGACCUAAAAUGUAGGGCCUGGUCAAUUUUUCCCAGUUUGGUGCUGCUGGGAAGGGUCAGAAAGACUUUCAAGGUUAGUUUCAGGUAUCCGAAGAAAAAAGAAAGAGAAAAUAGGGCGCGCCCCAUGUUUUACGACAUGUGCUCCAAAUAUUUUUGGAAUUUGAAGUGAAAAAUGGUGCCCAAUGCCCUGUCAAUUUCCCACUGUUGGUUAUUUUAAAAUUUUGUUUUUGUCCUUAAUGCCCUGUGCCGUGCACAGGAAAAUGGAAAGGACUCGCUUUCUUGUGAUGGUUGAUGAAGAUUUGGAAUUUGGAUCAUGAAGCCCUCUUUGAUCUUUUUAGGACAAGCAACAUUGAAGAAAUAGCAAGUGUCUUUGAAAUAUCAAGCCCUAUAUAUUGAUGCCAUUUAAGUUAUUUUCUCCUUCCAUUUUAAUUUCCUCAUGCAUUAAUUAAUUCGUGCUUGGGCAUGUAUUUUUUUUUUAAUUUUAUCCAUGCCCCUAAUUAUUAGGGAACAAUAGACAUGAAACAAGCACAUUUGGCCCAAAAGACUCUGAAUGAGAGGAUGACAAAUAAACUCUCUGGAUUAGUUAUUGUACAUUCGUAAUUUAUAGCAUAACAAGAAGUUUCCAUUUUUA